rnacentral:lncRNA from 1 species
UGUGAAGGAGUACAGAAAGGUCAGGCAGCAAAGGGAUUCUAAAGGCCUGGAAUAAGCGAUUGCACAUUCUUUCUGGUGAUUUUUCUUCUAGUCCACAUCCCACCCCAAGCCCACAGCCUGCUUCAUCCCAACUGCAAUCUCAACUACUCCCUCACCUCCUUCUUCCAAAGAGAAAGAUGUGAAAAAGCAAAAUCAGUCAGUCUGAUCUCACCUUCCCUUCCCUCCAUUUAAUGGAGGGUUGGGGGUUGGGGAGAGCAUGCAACAAGGAAAUAGCUCUGGAAUCCAGAACAUCUGGCUUCUAUUCAGACCCAAUCACCAACCUUGGGAGCAUAUUGAAAGCAUUUGGCUGUCUCAACAGUCUAAAAGAAGCUAUUUAUUUCAGACUCAACAACCAGCCCAACCAUAUGCUUCCAUUUGGAAACAAUUGGAGACACGCAUGAAAUUUGGUGCUGUGACUCGGAUCGGGGGACCUCCCUUGGGAGAUCAAUCCCCUGUCCUCCUGCUCUUUGCUCCAUGAAAAAGAUCCACCUACAACCUCGGGUCCUCAGACCCACCAGCCCAAGGAACAUCUCACCAAUUUUAAAUCGGAUCUGCUUGGCUUAGCGACUGAAGAUCGACGCUGCCCGAUCGCCUCGGAAGCCCCUUGGACCAUCACAGACGCUGAGCUUCAGAAGAAGGCAAGAAUGUCAGGCCUCUGAGCCCAAGCCAAGCCAUCACAUCCCCUGUGACUUGCACACAUACGCCCAGAUGGCUUGAAGUAACUGAAGAAUCACUAAAGAAGUGAAAAUGCCCUGCCCCGCCUUAACUGAUGACAUUCCACCACAAAAGAAGUGAAAAUGGCCGGUCCUUGCCUUAACUGAUGACAUUACCUUGUGAAAGUCCUUUUCCUGGCUCAUCCUGGCUCAAAAAGCUCCCCCACUGAGCACCUUGCGACCCCCACUCCUGCCCACCAGAGAACAAAUCCCCUUUGACUGUAAUUUUCCUUUAUCUACCCAAAUCCUAUAAAACGGCCCCACACUUAUCUCCCUUCACUGACUGUCUUUUCGGACUCAACCCGCCUGCACCCUGGUGAUUAAACGCUUUAUUGCUCACCCA